UCUAGCCUGCCCAGUGACAAGAUUAAACGGCCGCGGUACCCUAACCGUGCGAAGGUAGCAUAAUCACUUGUUCUUUAAAUGAGGACUAGUAUCAACGGCAUCACGAGGAUCCUACUGUCUCCCCGCUCUAAUCAGUGAAACUGAUCUCUCCGUGAAGAAGCGGGGAUGAACAUAUAAGACGAGAAGACCCCAUGGAGCUUUAAACCCGACAGCACCCAUUUAUUCUACACCUUAUUAUCCACUCGGCACCUGUCUGCUCGGUUUUAGGUUGGGGUGACCGCGGAGCAUAAAAUAGCCUCCAUGAAAAAAGGGAUGAUUCCCUUAUUUAAGAACUACACUUCCAAGAAAUAAUAAAUUAAUUUUAGUGAUCCGAUAUAUUCGAUCAACGAACCAAGUUACCCUGGGGAUAACAGCGCAAUCCACCCCGAGAGCCCCUAUCGACAGGUGGGUUUACGACCUCGAUGUUGGAUCAGGGUAUCCCAGUGGUGCAGCAGCUACCAAAGGUUCGUUUGUUCAACGAUUAAAACCCU
rnacentral:rRNA from 1 species